UACGUAGGGACCGAGCGUUGUCCGGAAUCAUUGGGCGUAAAGAGCGUGUAGGCGGCCGAUCAAGUUCCGCGUGAAAUCUCACGGCUCAACCGUGAGCAGCCGUGGAAAACUGGUCGGCUAGAGUGCGGGAGAGGAGAGUGGAAUUCCUGGUGUAAGCGGUGAAAUGCGCAGAUAUCAGGAAGAACACCCGUGGCUAAGGCGGCUCUCUAGUACGGUACUGACGCUGAGACGCGAAAGCGUGGGGAGCGAACAGG
rnacentral:rRNA from 1 species